GCCUAAAUUUACUAGUCGGUACAGUGAAGUAAUAUCUAGUACCGAUAGAUGGCGAAACAUAUGUUACCAGUCGGUAAUAAAAUACAGAUAACUCACACACUAUAUGUUUUUAUUAAUUGAUUAAAAAUAAAUGCAACCCACAAAUCAAUUUUUACAUGAUAAAAAUUAUUUUUAGUCAGAACAGCUGCAUUCUAUUCACAUAAUAAUUCACAUGGAAUUCUUUGCAAGGAAGAUAUUAAUU